UAUAUAUGAUCAGACAUGUGGAUGCGUAUACGUGCUGUUUUACCCUCAAAACUAUCGGCCAGCGUUUAAGUAUCAACACGCAAUACGGAAGUUUGUCUGCUGAAACAUGGCAAUCACAAUGUGAAACUGUAUACUAUCCAUCACCCAAAUAUAGAUGGUCUACACAGUUUCAAUCUGUUGGAAUUGUGCGGCUUUUAUACUGGACACCAAUUCAUAUUGCAUACACACAGUGGUCAAGAAGAACCUACAUGGUUGUCGUCCAGCCACACCAGACGGUUUUCUAUAUUCUUUUCAACCAAAUAAAAAAUUCGCUUUAGGCAUCUUGCAAAACUGGUCACGUGGGCUGAUCAAAAGGCCAGUGCUGAUGCGCGCAAUCGGCCACUCACACGAACACGGUAGACAUCUCAGCAGCAGCCGACACACAGCACAAGAGAGUAUAGCAAUAAAUAUUUCGUCUGUGCUGUUGUGUGUAUUUGUUUGGCUUUUGAGUUCGAGUGGGUGUGGGUGGGUGCCUAGUUCCGCUUGUCUAACACGAGGAAUGCGACAUGUUAUACACCGACUAUGGCUGAUAUGUGCACACGUACAGCCAUCUCAGCGAGAGUAGAGACUUGUUGGCUGCUGCCCUCCGUUUCUCGCCAUAUUUAAUUGGUUAUCCGAAAAAAUCUCUUUCACAUAACCUUUUGCCUCUUAUCACUCUUUUUUGUCUUUCGUGAUCUAACAUUUUAACCCCUUUCAAAAUUUCGUUCGUUCAUUUUUCCCGUCCGCAGCGCAGCGAGCGCGGCAGCCAUUAUUCAGCGCAGCACAUACUAUACUAUACAGCAUUCACGUGAGUGUGUGUGUGUGUGCAGCAGCACAGCCGAUUGCUAACCUUGAGAGUCAAGAAUAUGAUACGCGUUUGGUAUGCAGCCGAGAACGAGAAAGCUGCAGGGUUGUUGCGGACUUGUAAUUGAUGCGUUGGCGUUUGCACGCUCCCACCGGCAUAUACAGCGCAACCGCUCGCUCGGAGAAAAAAACAAAUUAAAAUAAACGAAAAACAAUUUCGGGGGGGUUAAAAUGGUUUUACGCCGUCGAGUCAAAAUAUUUUUCAGCUAAUAAUAAUGGUUCAGAAAUUUCGCAGCGGCAGAGUUUUCUCCUUUUUUUUUUUGGAAAAAUAUUUUUCGAAAUCUUGUAUAGCCUUCGUCUAUUUUGCCUUGACAUGAUGCCGCAACUAUAAAUUUCAUUUAGGCCAUAUUAUUGUGCGACUCUUUGCGAUGAGAUCAUGGUAAAACAACGUUACCGAUGUUGUCUUCCCUCCGCCCCCAACUCUAUUAACGACAAUUGAUCUAAUAACAUCUAUACACAGCAGGAUGACGACAAUAGUAAAAGUUGGUAAAAGUUGAUUUCUCGCACGAGUUUCGCACGGAUUUCUCAGCGGUUGCUAUUUUUAAUAAAAUUCCCGAUGGCUUUAACUGUACAUUCCAUCAUUUUCACAGGCUACAAAACAAUGGAUUAAAGGGCCGGGUGGGUAUAGAAAUCGCUUCUAUUUCACCCCAGCAGCACCUAUAUUAGCUGUGAGUAAAAAAAAAAACCUGCUCGCGGGAAUCCCUCGCUUUUUGGAAUCAACAAUGACCCAAUCCCGAAUGUAUUAAUCCCCAUCAGAUUAUAUCGAGUGCUGUCGCCGUCGUGUAAUCAAAUGAUCCUAUGCUAUAAAUAAGCUCCAGUGUGCUUAUAGUAUACGUAACAUUCUUUCGACUCUUGUCUUACUCACGUACAUAUAAGCGACACUGAUUCUUCGGCUACAGAAUAUUAUCAGCGCCAAGUUGGGGG